GCCGCUAUUCCGAUCAGAACUCUCUCGCUUGUUUUCCAUCCCUGGUGUUCUUCCUCCUCCGCGCGCUUAUGUUGCCUCUGUUUUGCCUCCCCGCUUCUGAUCGCUUGCACGCACGAGAGAUCGGAACGAGCAGGGCCUCCGGAACCACACCUCGCCUGAGAUCUGCACCGGGUAGGCGGGUGAUCAGGUUUUUGGGGAGUGCUUCCGCACGACUGCUCUCGACUUCUGCUUUGUUCGUCGUCGUUUCGUCGUCCACCAUGUCUGCACCUGGAGCCACUGCCGCCGCCGGAGCCGCUGCCGCCAUCCCUGAAGAUGGCGCGCCGGGAGCCGGAGCCGCUGCGAACGUCAACGUCAACGGAGGCAAUUCUGCCUCACAAUCCAGUGGAGGGACAUUCUCGGGUACUGAUGAUGAUUGGAUGAUGGGAGCUGGCUCUAGGGGCUCUACUGCCUGGAUUGAGAUGUGGUAGGUACUACGAACCUGAAGGUUGCCAGUUUGCAGGUUCUCUUCCCCCAUGGGAACCAAAGUUUUCCAUGCGAAGUGACAGACACAGAACCAAAUCUAGCUUUUAAUUGGUCUAAUGUUUCUUUCUUUUUGGUUGGUGUAGACAUCAAAGGAUUUUUUUUAAUUGGUCUAAUGUUUCUUUCUUUUUGGUUGGUGUAGUCUUGAAAGGGUUUCUUGUCAUCUUCCAUUAGUAUCCACAUUUGCUUGAUUAAUCAUUAUUAAAAAAAUAUUUUGUCUACUAUCAAA